UACGGAGGGUGCAAGCGUUGCUCGGAAUUAUUGGGCGUAAAGGGUAGGUAGGUGGUCUCAUUUGUCUGGGGUGAAAGCCUUGAGCUUAACUCAAGAAGUGCCCUAGAAACGGUGAGACUAGAGUUCUGGAGAGGGUCGUGGAAUUCCCGGUGUAGCGGUGAAAUGCGUAGAGAUCGGGAGGAACACCAGUGGCGAAGGCGGCCUCCUGGAUCGAUACUGACGCUGAGGCGCGAAAGCGUGGGGAGCAAACAGG
rnacentral:rRNA from 1 species